rnacentral:rRNA from 1 species
AACGAACGCUGGCGGCAGGCUUAACACAUGCAAGUCGAACGGGUGUAGCAAUACAUCUGUGGCAGACGGGUGAGUAACACGUGGGAACCUUCCUCGUUGUACGGAACAACUCAGGGAAACUUGAGCUAUUACCGUAUACGUCAGAGAGGAGACAGAUUUAUCGCAAUGAGACGGGCCCGCGUCGGAUUAGCUAGUUGGUGGGGUAAUGGCCUACCAAGGCGACGAUCCGUAGCUGAUCUGAGAGGAUGAUCAGCCAAGCUGGGACUGAGACACGGCCCAGACUCCGACGGGAGGCAGCAGUGGGGAAUCUGGGACAAUGGGCGCAAGCAUGAUCCAGCCAUGCCGCGUUAGUGAAGAAGGCCUUAGGGUUGUAAAGCUCUUUUGCCAGGGACGAUAAUGACGGUACCUGGAGAAUAAGCCCCGGCAAACUUCGUGCCAGCCGCCGCCGUAACAC